UUAACUCUAAUUUGUAUGCAGUUGGAACAGCGCCCCUAGUGGCAAACGUAGGCAAACGUUCCAACUCCAUACAAAUUUGAGUUA
rnacentral:pre_miRNA from 1 species